AGAACGAACGCUGGCGGCAGGCUUAACACAUGCAAGUCGAGCGCCCCGCAAGGGGAGCGGCAGACGGGUGAGUAACGCGUGGGAAUCUACCCAUCACUACGGAACAACUCCGGGAAACUGGAGCUAAUACCGUAUACGUCCCUCGGGAGAAAGAUUUAUCGGUGAUGGAUGAGCCCGCGUUGGAUUAGCUAGUUGGUGGGGUAAUGGCCUACCAAGGCGACGAUCCAUAGCAGGUCUGAGAGGAUGAUCAGUCACACUGGGACUGAGACACGGCCCAGACUCCUACGGGAGCAGCAGUGGGAAUAGUGGACAAGUGGGCGAAAGCCUGAUCCAGCCAUGCCGCGUGAGUGAUGGAACGGUCCCGUAGGGUUGUAAAGCUUACGUUACGAACGGUGAAGAUAAGUAGAACGGUAACGUAGAAGAACGCCCG
rnacentral:rRNA from 1 species